rnacentral:rRNA from 1 species
UAAUACGGCCAUAUCCCGCUGAGAGCACCGGUUCUCGUCCGAUCACCGAAGUUAAGCAACGUCGAGCCUAGUGAGUACUUAGAUGGGUGACCGAUUGGGAAGCCUAGGUGCUGUAAGCA